GGCUGCUGACUGCUUGAGAAUUUGUCCCUAAAUCCCCCGGUGGCUGGUGGCUCCGAGUGGCUCUCUGAGCUAGGGGGAAGAGGAGACCCAGGCUUCUUUUCUGAGACUGAGCAACCUUAGUCUUUGCUUAAGAAGCUGGAAGGUAACAACAAAUUGGAAAAUAACAGGUUUUGAAGGUCUAGGUUUUCUCUGGAGAGGUGAGAAUGAGCUUGUCCCCAACCCCUGGUGUCUGCACCCCAGCUCUACUCACCCCAGCCAAGCUUUCUAAAAGGCAUUUGAGUUCAACUUCAACUGAGAUAAACGACUAAAGAUUUAUCUGGCUGGGCACUCCUUGCUCAAAUGCUCUGACAACCUAUGAACCCCCCCCCAAAAAAACCCUUUUUCCUCCCCAAGCAAUGGUACCUACUGUUCUAGAGGGGUGCAAACAGAACUGUGGCCCCUCAGUGGCAAAGCAUUUGACUACAGAACCAUGGCCCCAAAAACCCAGGGCAUAAAGACACAUAAUAGAGGGGCCACUACAGUUGGGGUCAUUUUGUCCUGAGAGAGCAGAAUUGCGUUGCACCCCACCCCCAAUCCUAAAGAGAAAGAAGGACACCAGCCUCCCUCCAGCCUCACGCCAGUCCUUGCAUUGGAGCCUUUCCUGAACACAGCGGGGGCCAGCGUCUGGUAUCACGGGAAGCACCGGCCGGACAAAGCAGAAGACCCGGCUACACUGGGACCCGGGCCUUCCAGAACAAGGAGGCUGAGUUUGAAGUCCAUGGGCUGAUGCUGGCUGAAAGCAGCUGCACUUUUCCUGGGAGGAGGUGGUUGGAGGGACACCAGGGAUGGAAGCCGGCCAGGCUCCUAGAGACCAGGCAGGUCUGUGAGAGGUCCCAGGAGAAGCAAGAGCCCAGUUGCUAGGACACAGUGCAUUUGAAGAACUAACUGAAACCAAACUCCAAGUAGAACUAGCUUGGAGUGGCUCAGAUUCCAGGAAUUUCUGCUCUCCUCCAAGAGCCAGAGAAGACAACCCUGGACCCAGCUCCAGGCCUGGACUCCAAGGACCUCUUUGAUAUCACCUGUUUGGCGUCUGCCUCUCAGCUGGUCUCCAUGGCAGAAGGGGAUUCUUAACUUCAAACUGCUAGGAAGGUGUGCCUUUACCCACCACCCAGCCAGACCCUGGCUCCAAUCCCUACACCAACCCCCAGCCUUUGAGACUGAAUAGACGUCUGAGCCAAGUGCUGAGAAAGAAAGCGAAAAGAGACAGACAAGCAGUGUGCCAGGAAUUCUAGGGAGCACACAGAGGCAGAGUGUAACAGAGAAGGGACAGCCGCUUGGACAGUCGCUCUGAUGUCACCCUGGUGAACUGUGCCUGCCGAGGGGUCCUGGCUCCAAGGGUGCGCGGCAGAGCAGCCCCGCGCGUUAAGACCAUCCGUUCUGCGUUUGCAGUGGAACCCGGAUACUAAGGACCUGGAUUGGGACGCAGAGAACAAGUUUGCUUCUUCCUCCAGGAUCUCCAGCCUAGGCCCCUCACCCCUGCCACCCCAGCAUUCUCACAUUCUCCUUCCACCCUACCUCUCCAGAUACCCAUACCCGCAUCCUCACAGUGCUGGGCGCACAUCCCCCACGUAUCCCACAGCCACAGGCAGCCCGGCCUCCCUGGGACUUACCUGGGCGUUGGUGACAGAUGAUGAGGCAAUCCCAGCCCAAGUCAAGCCCGGCUCCCUCCUGCCCUUGCCCGGAAGGCCAGUGUCCAAGUGGCCACGUGUCCGCCGGGGGAAAUCUGAAGGAACAAGGGAGUCCGCCUGGUCACAGCAGCUCUCCCUCCAGGGUAUAAAUCUUGGGGGCCCGGAAAUACAAUAAAACUUCAUCGUGUUGAUGAACUUCAAACGCUUU